rnacentral:piRNA from 1 species
UGGAAGGUAUUGGAAGUUCCUAAGAGA